rnacentral:sRNA from 1 species
CCGUCGCUCCUACCGAUUGAGUGAUCCGGUGAAUAAUUCGGACUGCAGCAGUGUUCAGUUCCUGAACGUUGCAGCGGAAAGUUUCGUGAACCUUAUCACUUAGAGGAAGGAGAAGUCGUAACAAGGUUUCCGUAGGUGAACCUGCGGAAGGAUCAUUCGCACGCAUCCAAUUGAACCACUGUGCAUCUUGCUCGUGAGGUUCUGAGUGGGGAGCAAUUACCAACUCAGAAACUCAAGGGCAGCAGUGUGAGGUUAACUUUGCUAGCCUCAUUCCUGCUGUCGGGUUCUACUUGAACUUCUAUUUUGUUUUUACAUGCUUUCGUGAGUGGCUAGCUCCACUCCAACUUCAUUUCACAACUUUCAGCGACGGAUGUCUCGGCUCGAACAACGAUGAAGGGCGCAGCGAAGUGUGAUAAACAUUGUGAAUUGCAGAAUUCCGUGAACCAAUAGGGAUUUGAACGUAUACUGCGCUUUCGGGAUAUCCCUGAAAGCAUGCCUACUUCAGUGCCUCUACCUUCUAAUGCCAGUAGCUUUAUGCUCUUCGGGGCUAGCUGCUUGUGCGUAUUUGUGCGUUAAAUUGCGCAGUAUGUGUGCGUUUGACGCAUUGAGCAUGUGGGGAACCUUCGCAUCAAUCAACUUAUUGAGUGUCUUUGAUACCAUCUGUUGCAUUGCUUGCAAAGGCUGCCUCAACAACCAAUCGCUACUUCGUGUAGCUUUCCUCCAAGGCAUGAAGUUAGGUCAGCAAACCCGCUGAAUUUAAGCAUAUAAGUAAGCGGAGGACAAGAAACUAAAUAGGAUUCCCCCAGUAAUGGCGAAUGAACAGGGAAGAGCUCAGCAUGGAAAUCGGGGUCUCCCGACCUUGAAUUGUAGUCUUGAGAUGUACUGCCAACGGAGGCGCAGAUGUAAGCCUCUUGGAAAAGAGCAUCAACGAGGGUGAGAGUCCCGUUUGUCAUCUGCAGUCCCCCGUGCACGGUGUACCUUCUAAGAGUCACGUUCCUCGGGAUUGGAGCGCAAAGUGGGUGGUAAAUUUCAUCUAAAGCUAAAUAUUGGUUCGAGACCGAUAGCAAACAAGUACCAUGAGGGAAAGGUGAAAAGGACUUUGAAAAGAGAGUUAAAAGUGCCUGAAAUUGCUGAAAGGGAAGCGAAUGGAACCAGUGUUCUUGAUGAGAUUGUCGCGUACUCUGGUGAUUGCUGGGUGCUCCACCGCAAGGGGGGCAUUUGGUUUUGAUCUAGCGGUGCGUGGUGUUUCUUGUCUUGUGUGUCACCGUCGGUGCACAAGCGAGUAAAACUCCGGAGAACUGGUAACUCGACCAUGGUUGAGUGAAUGUCUUUGGCAGUACUCAUUUGUGUAUCGAUCCCUGCGUGUCUGGUUGCAGUGUUUGAGUCGUCUGGAAGCUUCUGAAAGGACUUGUCCUCGAAGGACUUUCUAGGCACCUUGAGCAUCUCCCUGACACAAAGACGAUGACUAAAUGGUUCUAUUCGACCCGUCUUGAAACACGGGACCAAGGA